rnacentral:lncRNA from 1 species
GUAACUUCAGACAACAGGAACAGUAUGUAAGAAGAGCUGCAUUAUCUAGAUUCUAGGUCUCAAAAUAUAAGGAAUGACCUCACGAGUCACAGCCCAGUUGUUCCUAUAUGUAGUUAGAAGGAGAUAUCUGAAGGAGCUCCUUGGAUCUGGCAUCCUCUCUACCGUCAACCUCACACCCCAGGCAAGAAGGGGAAAUCCCAGAGGCCAUAAUCCUCCAGCCAUCUGGGAGGCACCCAGAAGACAACCAUUAGCAGACACUCUGGGACUUCAGGCAGUUCUGCUCCUUGAAACAACUGUCACUGGAGAGGCGAUUUUACAGCAGCCACUGUUGUCAAGUGGAAAUACAUUUUUAGUAAUAAGAAUAACAGCAAUGGACGGAUAAGCUGGCUCUUCUGGAACAACCAUCCAGGGAUAUUCCAGCCUUACAGUUCUAUCAGGUCAAGCAAAAGUUGAUGUUUCUACCUCACCAGGGAGCACUUUAGCCCUUAAUCUCUUUUACAAGCAGCAGAGGACUUGAAGACCAAAUGACAGCCAGGGACCUGGCCAUUGCCGGGUAGCCUAGGAAUGUGCGACCACUAAGGAAUUGAAGCCCUUCUCUGUGUCUCUGUUUUUCUCACUUGUCUUCUUUCCAGCUGUCCUAUAGGUGUGGUAAAUCUGAAUGCACAAUUCUCAAAAACCAUAACUCCCACUUUUUCUAGGUGCCAAAGAGAAUGUUAAAAUAUCUUCAAUUAUCCAUUCUCUCAUUUCAACUUCAGCUUCUAGUAUUGAUUAAGAAGUGGAGACCACCUCAUCUGUCCUCCUCAAUCUUAUUCAUGCACUACUGAGACGCACCUACAGGAGGAGAAACACUUCCAAGCACACGAUGUGAAUUUGUA